rnacentral:misc_RNA from 1 species
GAUGAAGAACGUAGCGAAAUGCGAUAAGUAGUGUGAAUUGCAGAAUUCAGUGAAUCAUCGAAUCUUUGAACGCACAUUGCGCCCCUUGGUAUCCCGAGGGGCAUGCCUGUUCGAGCGUCAUUUCACCACUCAAGCCUGGUUUGGUGUUGGGCGACGUCCUCUUUGGGGACGCGCCUCGAAACGCUCGGCGGCGUGGCACCGGCUUUAAGCGUAGCAGAAUCUUUCGCUUUGGAAGUCGGGGCCCCGUCUGCCGGAAGACCUGCUCGCAAGGUUGACCUCGGAUCAGGCAGGGAUACCCGCUGAACUUAAGCAUAUCAAUAAGCGGAGGA